GUGAACGUGGUGUUUAACUCCCAGAGGCUAAACGUUUGUUGGUACUCUAUCAUCGAGGUGUAGGUUCGAAUCCUACCGUCCACG
rnacentral:tRNA from 1 species